GGCACCACAAAAUCUGCCCAAAUAGUUAAAAACUGGCCAGAUGGCAACCUUUCCUAUUUGACAUGUUUCUAGAAUGUUCUGGAAAAUCACUAAAGGGGGAGGGGAUAGAAAGCCCUUUGCCUUUAGAUCUCUGGUUGAAGCCCAGCCUAGGGUGGAGGCUCUAAGUUAUCACUUGGCAGCUUGCUUAAUGACAUCAACAUGAAAGGAGGUGGUGAGCCUCUGCCCAGUUCCUAAGGGACAGGGCUCUGCAGUACAGAAGUUGCCCACCAUACUUAUCCCGAAUUGUCCCCUUGUUGCCAGCCUGAGAAAACUGAAUGUGCCAGGGAACUUGAACUUGACGGCCCACAGUGGGAUUCUCCCUGUCAGCACUGAUGGUCUUUGGUAGGGCAAUGUGGAGAAGUCCAUCUUACCACUGAGAAGUGCUGAACUUCUGCAACUCCAACUGACAUCAACAUGAGUUGGAUUCAUAACAGCGUCCACAGCUGUUACCUGAAGCACUUGUGUCUUGGAAAUAUUUGUGCCUGAGGAAAGUCAAGGAGGCUAACACUGGCCUGUAAAUCCAGUUCUGGAGGCAUUACUUUUUGUGCCUGUAUUCCACCUUCCUGAGAAAAUGAUCAGCAGAUGCAAACAGCACUUGGAUUCCAUUCUCCCAGAAGUUCAACCCAGUGGCCCGGACCCUUUAGAAAUGUCAUCCAGAAAAUUAGCAUGGUGUAUACGCCGAUGAGUUCUUUGAUGGCUGCUGAGUCCAAUGUGCCAGUGACAGUCCCAU